rnacentral:rRNA from 1 species
UUGGAGGGCAAGUCUGGUGCCAGCAGCCGCGGUAAUUCCAGCUCCAAUAGCGUAUAUUAAAGUUGUUGCAGUUAAAAAGCUCGUAGUUGAAUUUCGGGGUCAGUAGGUUGGUCAUGCCACUGGUAUGUACUGGUCUCACUGAUUCCUCCUUCCUGAUGAACUGUAAUGCCAUUAAUUUGGUGUUGCAGGGAAUCUGGACUGUUACUUUGAAAAAAUUAGAGUGUCUAAAGCAGGCUAACGCCUGAAUACACUAGCAUGGAAUAAUGAAAUAGGACGUUCGAUCCUAUUUUGUUGGUUUCUAGGAUUGACGUAAUGAUUAAUAGGGAUAGUUGGGGGCAUUAGUAUUCAAUUGUCAGAGGUGAAAUUCUUGGAUUUAUUGAAGACUAACUACUGCGAAAGCAUUUGCCAAGGAUGUUUUCAUUAAUCAAGAACGAAAGUUAGGGGAUCGAAGACGAUCAGAUACCGUCGUAGUCUUAACCAUAAACUAUGCCGACUAGGGAUCGGAUGAUGUUAAUUUUUUAAUGACUCAUUCGGCGCCUUACGGGAAAC